rnacentral:rRNA from 1 species
AGAGUUUGAUCAUGGCUCAGGACAAACGCUGGCGGCGUGCCUAACACAUGCAAGUCGAGCGCGAAAGGGACCUUCGGGUCCCCUGAGAGCGGCGAACGGGUGAGUAACACGUGGGCAACCUGCCUCAAGGACUGGGAUAACUCCGGGAAACCGGGGCUAAUACCGGGCGAUGUCGAUUCGCGCAAGUGGUUCGACCAAAUGGUAGCUUCGGCCUCCGCCUUGAGAUGGGCCCGCGUCCUAUCAGCUUGUUGGUGAGGUAACGGCUCACCAAGGCUACGACGGGUAGCUGGUCUGAGAGGAUGAUCAGCCACACUGGGACUGAGAUACGGCCCAGACUCCUACGGGAGGCAGCAGUGGGGAAUCUUGCGCAAUGGGCGAAAGCCUGACGCAGCAACGCCGCGUGAGCGAAGAAGGCCUUCGGGUUGUAAAGCUCUGUCAGGGGGAAAGAAGGCACCUGGGUUAAUAGCCCAAGGGCUGACGGUACCUCCAAAGGAAGCCACGGCUAACUACGUGCCAGCAGCCGCGGUAAUACGUAGGUGGCGAGCGUUGUCCGGAAUCAUUGGGCGUAAAGAGCGCGUAGGUGGCUUGUCAGGUCUGGUGUGAAAUCCUGGGGCUCAACCCCAGGCGUGCAUCGGAAACCGGCUUGCUAGAGUCUGGGAGAGGAGAGUGGAAUUCCUGGUGUAGCGGUGAAAUGCGUAGAUAUCAGGAGGAACACCGGUAGCGAAGGCGGCUCUCUGGAACAGUACUGACACUGAGGCGCGAAAGCUAGGGGAGCGAACAGGAUUAGAUACCCUAGUAGUCC